UCGUCACUACUCCCCUGCGACCAACGGCGAAUCCAAGUUUCUAGCGAAAAUAUCUGAAGAUCCUUACUAGUUUCCAGUGACGUUCUAUCCUAUUAAGCAAGAGUCUUCAAGGUGGUAGUUCAGUUCAACACUGCUGAUCUCCGUGUCCGGCGCCCCAUGCUCCAACCUUGGACUUGUUCCCAGGGACAUGAAUGGACGUGCCCAGUUUCAGCAAAGUACGCGCACGAAUGCUGAUUCAUUCAUGCGCCUUCCUGCCUUUCUGAUGCCGUUUUCGUCCAAUAACAUUUUCGGCAGGGGUAAUGAUCGAGCCUCGCUAUACUAUGCAAAUUUAU